CCCCCAAGGACUGACCUGCUGGGGUGGGGCGCAUGUGUGCAUGCACGCAGCACUCAGCCCUCCAGCCCAGCCUCGGAUUGACUCCAAAAGGCUCCAAGAUUUACCAGUAGAUCGAGAUCCACUAGUUGGUGACCACUGGGCUACAUGUGAGCUGUAGGGG